GACGAACGCUGGCGGCGUGCUUAACACAUGCAAGUCGAACGAGAAUCUACUGAAAGAGUUUUCGGACAAUGGAUGUAGAGGAAAGUGGCGGACGGGUGAGUAACGCGUGAGGAACCUGCCUUGAAGAGGGGGACAACAGUUGGAAACGACUGCUAAUACCGCAUGAUGCAUAGGGAUCGCAUGAUCCUUAUGCCAAAGAUUUAUCGCUUCAAGAUGGCCUCGCGUCUGAUUAGCUGGUUGGCGGGGUAACGGCCCACCAAGGCGACGAUCAGUAGCCGGACUGAGAGGUUGAACGGCCACAUUGGGACUGAGAUACGGCCCAGACUCCUACGGGAGGCAGCAGUGGGGAAUAUUGGGCAAUGGGCGCAAGCCUGACCCAGCAACGCCGCGUGAAGGAAGAAGGCUUUCGGGUUGUAAACUUCUUUUAAGAGGGAAGAGCAGAAGACGGUACCUCUAGAAUAAGCCACGGCUAACUACGUGCCAGCAGCCGCGGUAA
rnacentral:rRNA from 1 species